UUGGAGUUUCUGCCAGGUGGCGCUCGUCCGCCCAAGUGGUGUGUACAGGGCGUGCACCUGGCCCUUUCAAGGGGAACGUGUCUCCUUUAAAAUGUGUGGUGCGAGAUCCUUGACUUUUACUUUGAGGAAAUAAGAGUGUUCCAAGCAGGCUCUCGUCGUCCCUAGGUCAGCAUGGAAUAAUAGCAUUGGACUUCGUUUCUACGCUGUUGGUUGCAAGAAGCGAGGUAAUGAUGAAGAGGGAUAGUUGGGGGCAUUCGUAUUUAACUGUCAGAGGUGAAAUUCUUGGAUUUGUUAAAGACGGACUACUGUUUUUGCAUCUGCCAUGGAUGUUUUCAUUGAUCAAGAACGAAAGUUAGGGGAUCGAAGACGAUCAGAUACCGU
rnacentral:rRNA from 1 species